GUGCCGGUGGCCAUGGCUGGAGGGAAA
rnacentral:rRNA from 1 species